CUCUUAUUAAGAGAGGUGGAGGGAUAGUGCCCUGCGAAGCCCGGCAACCGUCACGUAAGUGAAAUGGUGCCAAGUCACACAAAGCAUACGCUUUGAAAGAUGAGAG
rfam:Sporosarcina psychrophila strain DSM 6497, complete genome.